rnacentral:rRNA from 1 species
AUGCGGUACCUUGGUCUUCCUCUGUCGGUCACGAGGCUAAAACGCAUCCAUUUCCAAUACCUCGAGGACAAGAUUGCGGGCAAGCUUCCACCUUGGUCGGCCAUGCACGUGGCGGCCCCUGGACGCAUCAUUUUGGUAAAAGCGGUUCUCACGGCCAUAGCAAUCUACCAUCUAACACCCCUUGAUAUCCCGGUCGAGGUGCGGAAGAAAAUCGAUAGCCUGAGACGUGCCUAUUUAUGGGCAGGCUGCGAUAAGGUGUCUGGAGGCAAAUGUAAGGUUAACUGGAAGCUUGUUUGCAAACCCAAGAUUUUCGGCGGCCUGGGUGUGCUAAACCUCCAAAAUUUUGCCACCGCCCUUCGACUCCGCUGGCUUUGGUUCGAGUGGGCUGACCCCCCAAAACUUGGGUUGGAAUGGAGACACCCUGUAGCAAUGCUGACAGAGAUCUCUUUGCGACGUUCACGAGUGUGA